rnacentral:rRNA from 1 species
GAUGAACGCUGGCGGCGUGCCUAAUACAUGCAAGUCGAGCGAACAGACGAGGAGCUUGCUCCUCUGACGUUAGCGGCGGACGGGUGAGUAACACGUGGAUAACCUACCUAUAAGACUGGGAUAACUUCGGGAAACCGGAGCUAAUACCGGAUAAUAUAUUGAACCGCAUGGUUCAAUAGUGAAAGACGGUUUUGCUGUCACUUAUAGAUGGAUCCGCGCCGCAUUAGCUAGUUGGUAAGGUAACGGCUUACCAAGGCGACGAUGCGUAGACGACCUGAGAGGGGGAUAGGCGACACGGGAACGGAAACGCGGACCAGACUCCUAAGGGAGGCAGCAGUAGGGAAUGUUCCGCAAUGGGCGAAAGCCUGACGGAGCAAGGCCGCGUGAGUGAUGAAGGUCUUCGGAUCGUAAUACUCUGUUAUUAGGGAAGAACAAAUGUGUAAGUAAAUAUGCAGUUAUUGACGGUACCUAAUCAAAAAGCAACGGCUAACUACGUG